rnacentral:lncRNA from 1 species
UAAAGAUAUAAAGUCAAAAAUAUAUAACAGACAUAAACGCAAGUAUAUAUAUAUAUAUAUAUAUAUAUAUAUAUGGGUGUGUUGCAUGUGUGUGUAUUAUAUAUAUAUGUAUGUAUGAGAGAGGAAGAAAGAGCAGACGAGACAAUGCUGGAGGGGGUGACACUAGACGGGAGGAGUGAGUGACGUGAGGAGAAAGGCGGGGAGUAGCAGACGAUACAUGAAUGAAGUGAAUUGGAUAAAGCAGACGACAGGUAGACAUGGAGGGAAGAUGCAACAGUGAAAAAAAAUAUUGUCGGCGUACAUAUCGUAUCCUCAUGGAAAUAAUGGACAUAAUUCACUGAAUCCGAUUGAAAUGGGACGAGUGCAAAUAGUGAUGAACAACAAGAAAGAAGGAGCUAAAAGG